rnacentral:rRNA from 1 species
GAUAAACGCUGGCGGCGUGCCUAAUACAUGCAAGUCGAGCGAACGGACGAGAAGCUUGCUUCUCUGAUGUUAGCGGCGGACGGGUGAGUAACACGUGGAUAACCUACCUAUAAGACUGGGAUAACUUCGGGAAACCGGAGCUAAUACCGGAUAAUAUUUUGAACCGCAUGGUUCAAAAGUGAAAGACGGUCUUGCUGUCACUUAUAGAUGGAUCCGCGCUGCAUUAGCUAGUUGGUAAGGUAACGGCUUACCAAGGCAACGAUGCAUAGCCGACCUGAGAGGGUGAUCGGCCACACUGGAGCUGAGACGCGGUCCAGACUCCUACGGGAGGCAGCAGUAGGGAAUCUUCCGCAAUGGGCGAAAGCCUGACGGAGCAACGCCGCGUGAGUGAUGAAGGUCUUCGGAUCGUAAAACUCUGUUAUUAGGGAAGAACAUAUGUGUAAGUAACUGUGCACAUCUUGACGGUACCUAAUCAGAAAGCCACGGCUAACUACGUGCCAGCAGCCGCGGUAAUACGUANGUGGCAAGCGUUAUCCGGAANUUAUGGGCGUAACGCGCGUAGGCGGUUUUUUAAGUCUGAUGUGAAAGCCCACGGCUCAACCGUGGAGGGUCAUUGGAAACUGGAAAACUUGAGUGCAGAAGAGGAAAGUGGAAUUCCAUGUGUAGCGGUGAAAUGCGCAGAGAUAUGGAGGAACACCAGUGGCGAAGGCGACUUUCUGGUCUGUAACUGACGCUGAUGUGCGAAAGCGUGGGGAUCAAACAGGAUUAGAUACCCUGGUAGUCCACGCCGUAAACGAUGAGUGCUAAGUGUUAGGGGGUUUCCGCCCCUUAGUGCUGCAGCUAACGCAUUAAGCACUCCGCCUGGGGAGUACGACCGCAAGGUUGAAACUCAAAGGAAUUGACGGGGACCCGCACAAGCGGUGGAGCAUGUGGUUUAAUUCGAAGCAACGCGGAGAACCUUACCAAAUCUUGACAUCCUUUGACAACUCUAGAGAUAGAGCCUUCCCCUUCGGGGGACAAAGUGACAGGUGGUGCAUGGUUGUCGUCAGCUCGUGUCGUGAGAUGUUGGGUUAAGUCCCGCAACGAGCGCAACCCUUAAGCUUAGUUGCCAUCAUUAAGUUGGGCACUCUAAGUUGACUGCCGGUGACAAACCGGAGGAAGGUGGGGAUGACGUCAAAUCAUCAUGCCCCUUAUGAUUUGGGCUACACACGUGCUACAAUGGACAAUACAAAGGGCAGCGAAACCGCGAGGUCAAGCAAAUCCCAUAAAGUUGUUCUCAGUUCGGAUUGUAGUCUGCAACUCGACUACAUGAAGCUGGAAUCGCUAGUAAUCGUAGAUCAGCAUGCUACGGUGAAUACGUUCCCGGGUCU